rnacentral:rRNA from 1 species
CGGUAAUACGGAGGGGGUUAGCGUUGUUCGGAAUUACUGGGCGUAAAGCGCGCGUAGGCGGAUUAGAAAGUUGGGGGUGAAAUCCCGGGGCUCAACCCCGGAACUGCCUCCAAAACUGCUAGUCUAGAGUUCGAGAGAGGUGAGUGGAAUUCCGAGUGUAGAGGUGAAAUUCGUAGAUAUUCGGAGGAACACCAGUGGCGAAGGCGGCUCACUGGCUCGAUACUGACGCUGAGGUGCGAAAGUGUGGGGAGCAAACAGGAUUAGAUACCCUGGUAGUCCACACCGUAAACGAUGAAUGCCAGUCGUCGGGUAGUAUACUAUUCGGUGACACACCUAACGGAUUAAGCAUUCCGCCUGGGGAGUACGGUCGCAAGAUUAAAACUCAAAGGAAUUGACGGGG